rnacentral:lncRNA from 1 species
GUACGAAGUGAAGUCUUCAGAAAGCCCCACGAGGGCCUAAGACAUACUGACUUUUUUUUUUUUUUCUUUUUUUCGGAGCUGGGGACCGAACCCAGGGCCUUGUGCUGACUUUCAAUCUGACUUUUAGCUUUUGAAUCAAUGCUUAUCUUUCAGUGGCUUAACUAUGACCAGAUACGUAGAACCCACUUUAUUCGAGCCACACACUCCCCAACACCCCCCCACCCCCCCAACCCUGCUAUUAAGGAGAGGUGAUAAACUCAUUCACCAAGACAAUGAGACAUUGAGGGAACCAGGAAGACCGGGAAGUGUUGGGGGCGGAGAGAGGAAUUUUACUCUCUCCCCUUUAUGGAUGUUUUACCACUUAUUUGUGGUUUGCUUAGCAAACCAGGGCCCUACAUGCUAAUCAAGUCCUCUAGCACUGAGCAACAUCCCUUUAAAUUUUAGGUAUGUUUGUGAUUUUUUGGUUUUUUUAACCCAAGAAUCCAAUCAACAUGCACAAGACAGAUUAACCUGGGGAAAAGCAUAUAUUUAUUUAAUCAAUAUAUUCGUUAUUCUUAUCAUAGCACCCUUUCUGUUGC